CUCAUCUGGCCAACCAUCUUCAGUGGCCAAUGCCCAAGUGUCUUCUUGGUACUACACAUGAAGAUGUCCUGCUCUCCCCUUCUCAAGGAGAGAGUGCCUGACCUGAGCUGGGCCCAUCAGAUCCAGUACUUACCCGGAAUAGGAAAAAGAUGGAGAGGGUGACCAAAGAUUACAAAAAUCUCUGAAGCUUAUCCACUUGAGAGAGAGUCCCUGAAGAUACUGGCCUUUCAUUUCCUGCUAUGUAUAUCCAGUGUGACUGAACUCUGAAUAACAUAUACAAGUUAUAAUAAUGUAGUAGUUGGCCCUCAAACUAGGACACAAACAUGUUAGAGGGUAUCUACGGAGAAAUAGACAAGUGAUGCACGACAGAUACAUGUGUCAGUCUGGUCUCUGCAGUUGUAUUUGUAAUAAUACACAUUGGAACAAUGUCAUGGCCAUCGGUUAGAGAAUGUUUGAAGAAUGACCCAUUCAUAUCAGGAAGGACGUUUCAAAGAUCAAAGCCUGAUGGAAAUGCUGGAGGCCGUGACGCUGAUAGGAGCUCAUGCGUGUUGACCAAUUGCUACGUGACAGGCAUUGGCUCCACGCUUUUCCUGCACUGCUCGUUUAAA
rnacentral:lncRNA from 10 species